rnacentral:rRNA from 1 species
CCUACGGGAGGCAGCAGUGGGGAAUAUUGCACAAUGGGCGCAAGCCUGAUGCAGCCAUGCCGCGUGUAUGAAGAAGGCCUUCGGGUUGUAAAGUACUUUCAGCGGGGAGGAAGGGAGUGAGGUUAAUAACCUUAUUCAUUGACGUUACCCGCAGAAGAAGCACCGGCUAACUCCGUGCCAGCAGCCGCGGUAAU